AGAGUUUGAUCAUGGCUCAGGACGAACGCUGGCGGCGUGCUUAACACAUGCAAGUCGAGCGGUAAGGCCCUUCGGGGUACACGAGCGGCGAACGGGUGAGUAACACGUGAGCAAUCUGCCCUUCACUUUGGGAUAACCACCGGAAACGGUGGCUAAUACCGAAUACGACCGCCCCGGGCAUCUGGUGGUGGUGGAAAGUUCCGGCGGUGGAGGAUGAGCUCGCGGCCUAUCAGCUUGUUGGUGGGGUAAUGGCCUACCAAGGCGACGGCGGGUAGCCGGCCUGAGAGGGUGACCGGCCACACUGGGACUGAGACACGGCCCAGACUCCUACGGGAGGCAGCAGUGGGGAAUAUUGGACAAUGGGCGAAAGCCUGAUCCAGCAACGCCGCGUGAGGGAUGACGGCCUUCGGGUUGUAAACCUCUUUCAGUACCGACGAAGCGCAAGUGACGGUAGGUACAGAAGAAGCCCCGGCUAACUUCGUGCCAGCCGCCGCGGUAAUAC
rnacentral:rRNA from 1 species